UAAGGCCUCUGAGGUGGUCUUGGCUAACCUGGAUGCAUGGAUGACAGUUAAAGACAUCCAAAAUGAAGAAUAGGCUGGCAGACAGACACAAACACUGAAAUUAAAUGAUUAAACUAGUUUUUAACAGUUUAGAUGUCAUUUUCAGGUUAAACUGUAAUCACAAUGUGGCAAAAUUGUAAAAACUGAUAUAUCUGUAUGAACAAAAUGGAAAACAUUGACUCAAUGAGAUUUAAAAUGUUAUAACAGUUAAUUUUUUUUAUGUUUUGGCAUGAAUUAAUGAAUCCUUUCAACAGUACUGUUCAACUUUGCUGAAUGAGCCCAUUAGUGGUCUCCCGCUGCCAUCUAGUGGUUCUAAAUUGCAUUUACUCAAGCAACACUGUGUUUUUAAAUAUAACUGUUAUAGUGUUGUUAUUUUUUUUUGACCAAUCUCUCUUAAAUUUUGCAUGCUUGUUUAGAAUGAAAUUAUGCAUUAUUUUACACAGUUUUGAUAAUUUGUGGGCUUUCUGUUUGUAUUAAUAGGCCUUAGUGUACACUAUGCAAAUAACAUAUUAUAAAAUUACUGGUUUAUAGUUGUCCAAAUGCAACUGUUCAACAUGUUUUUGAUAAUUAUUGACCUUCAGAGUCUAGAGAAUUGUACUUCAGUGGUUUUAUUGAUUUUCAGCUUAUACCCUAUCACUAGUUUGCCAAAGUAACUUUUUGAAAUAAUCUUGAAUAUUUAAUUAACAGCUUUAUUGACAACAUUGGUCCCAGAGGCAAAGUUGUUCAGAAUGAGGAGAUCUAUCAUAUGAUAUGAAGAUCUAGUGUUUUUGAGUGAAUAUAUGAGCAUUUUCAAACAAUUUGAGGCCAUUUACCAUAUAAAUCUUGUGUUUUGAGACCUUUUCUACUGUUAUAGCGCCACCUAUGGUGCGAUCUCCAUGAAACUUUGCAUGCUUGUUAAGAGUUACCUGUUACAUGUUCUCACCACGUUUCAUAAAGUUUUGAGUUUUCGUUUAGGUUUUAUAGGCUUUGGGGUAUGUUUGGCCACACCCCUUUUCUUAAUUACCCAUUUAACGCUAACCAAAGUACAAAAUUGAACAUUUUUUUGAUAAUUAUUGAUCUAGACAGUCCACAGAAUAUUACUGCAGUGGUUUGGUUCCGAUCGGACAAAAAACCUAGGACUAGUUCGCAAAAGUAGUUUUUUAACAUAUUUGUGAAUAACAAUUGAACGAUUUGAUUGACAGCAAUGGUUCUUGAGGCAAAGUUGUGCAUUAUGAGGAGAUCUAUCAAAUGAUAUGCAUAUUGUGUUGAUAUGUGAAACACCACGUGAUUACAGAGCCAUAAAACUCGUUAGCGCCAACUAGUGGCCGAUUUCUUUCAAAAUUCUUACAGACCUUAAGGUUCAUGAGUCGAACGUACCCAGUGAGUUUCGUUCCGAUCAACAUCCGUUAACCCUUUCAAAUAGGUGCUUAAAAUUGUUUGGCCAAUGGCGGCCAUGUUUUUUGAGAUAUGCAAAUGUCCUCAUAGGUACUUGUGCCCCUUCAGACCAAGACACUGCAUACCAAUUUUCAAGUCGAUCGAGCCAACGGUUGUUUAGUUAUAGCCAUUUAUGUGUUUUUUCUAUCUUAAAGCGCCCCCAAGUGGCAGAGAUGCGCAUUUUUUUUUAUUUGACCAAAGAUUGAGCUCAUACAUAUGUGUACCGAGUUUGGUGAAGAUAUCUCAUUCCGUUCAAGAGUUAUAGUCAAAAUAGUAUUUGGCUAACGUUAGCAUAGACGCUUUUUGGCGUACUGUUUCGCAUAAGAAUUGAAAUUUCAACUUUUUUUUAAUAAUUAUUGAUAUUGAGUGUCCAGGGAAUAUUUAUGAAGUGGUUUGGUUCUGAUUGGUUGAAAAU